rnacentral:rRNA from 1 species
CCUACGGGGGGCAGCAGUGGGGAAUAUUGGACAAUGGGGGCAACCCUGAUCCAGCCAUGCCGCGUGUGUGAAGAAGGCCCUCGGGUUGUAAAGCACUUUCAGUGAGGAAGAACGCCUGGUGGUUAAUACCCAUCAGGAAAGACAUCACUCACAGAAGAAGCACCGGCUAACUCCGUGCCAGCAGCCGCGGUAAUACGGAGGGUGCGAGCGUUAAUCGGAAUUACUGGGCGUAAAGCGCGCGUAGGUGGCUUGAUAAGCCGGUUGUGAAAGCCCCGGGCUCAACCUGGGAACGGCAUCCGGAACUGUCAAGCUAGAGCGCAGGAGAGGAAGGUAGAAUUCCCGGUGUGGCGGUGAAAUGCGUAGAGAUCGGGAGGAAUACCAGUGGCGAAGGCGGCCUUCUGGACUGACACUGCCACUGAGGUGCGAAAGCGUGGGUAGCAAACAGGAUUAGAUACCCCGGUAGUC